AUGAACGCUGGCGGCGUGCCUAAUACAUGCACGUCGAGCGAACAGAUAAGGAGCUUGCUCCUUUGACGUUAGCGGCGGACGGGUGAGUAACACGUGGGUAACCUACCUAUAAGACUGGAAUAACUCCGGGAAACCGGGGCUAAUGCCGGAUAACAUUUAGAACCGCAUGGUUCUAAAGUGAAAGAUGGUUUUGCUAUCACUUAUAGAUGGACCCGCGCCGUAUUAGCUAGUUGGUAAGGUAACGGCUUACCAAGGCAACGAUACGUAGCCGACCUGAGAGGGUGAUCGGCCACACUGGAACUGAGACACGGUCCAGACUCCUACGGGAGGCAGCAGUAGGGAAUCUUCCGCAAUGGGCGAAAGCCUGACGGAGCAACGCCGCGUGAGUGAUGAAGGUCUUCGGAUCGUAAAACUCUGUUAUUAGGGAAGAACAAAUGUGUAAGUAACUGUGCACGUCUUGACGGUACCUAAUCAGAAAGCCACGGCUAACUACGUG
rnacentral:rRNA from 1 species